AAGACAAGAUGGCGCCCGGGUAGUCUCACCCGGAAGUGAAUAAUAAUAACAUCCGCUCGUCAUCUGAAGCCAUACUAGCUCGCAUCCUGGCUUUGUGAGCACGUGACUAUUGCGUUGUCACUUUCCAGCGCCAUUUUUGUUAUGGGCAAAACCACCUUGUCUUUACGACUGUCUUGAAUGUUCUUGUCCCAGUGUAUGCUGGUGCCGAGCCCGACAAGCUUUCAUCUUUAUUUUGAGCAGAAAACGAAGAGCGCAAGUGUUCUACGCAGAGAGCGCCCUCAAAUUCUUUAAUAACCCGACUCUCAUUCAAGUGUGUAUUCUCCCCACGAAUAGUCUCGCUUUGGAAAAGGGUUCGAGUUCGCCUCGCGGCUUUCAGAUUACGGAGCGGCCCCAGAAUCAAACCCAGCCAACUCUGGCCAGGUACUCGGUGCAUCCGGAGCAGUGCUGCAGGCAGGGCCAAAUCGGCCUGAGCGUUUGUGGAGUACUCCAGGCUUGGGUGUUGCUCAAUUUCGCUGGGUGUUCGGAAAAACAAGACGUGUGUGCAGAUGGCUAGUCUGGGUCGGUAGCAAAAGCAAAAGAGACCUUAGCUGACUGGUAGCCUCCCUUCUUUGUUAAUUUAAAAACAUCGCGCCCCCUCCUGGGCACAUUCGCUAAACUCGGCUUGGCUCAGCGAGUCCUGAAUUUCAAUCUCUAACCUUUACAAAAAAGUGGCGGGAGGCCUAGUUCUCAUCUGGCUACUUUGCCUUGACAACAAAAUGGCCUCCGGAAGGGCAUGUGCAGUACAGUGCCUCAGAAAGAAAACUGAUUUUACAGUGUGUUGAUAUGUAUCAAAAGUACCAAUUUCUUAAAGCCAAGAAUUUCAAGUUAUAAAGUUUUAAGAAAAAAAUGUUCAAUAGUACAGUAUUUCUAGGCUAAAUCUGGGGAAGCGCCUUUUCAAAGUAAACUUUUAUAUGACUUUGAGUGUAUUUAGCUUCUACUCCCAGCACUCGGGAGGCUGAGGCAAGAGGAUAGCCUUAAAAGUUCGAGGACUACAUAGGGAGUUCGAAGACAGCCUGAACUACACGGAUUUCUCUGUAACGUUAUGACUUAAUGGAGACAACAGGCAAGUGCUGUGUAUGUAUUUCAACACCAGAUUUCUCAGAAUAUGUGUUUCAAAACAUCUGGGACAGCAUCCCAGAGUAAACAAUGUUCAUGAGACCAUCUGGACAAAGCUGCAGGCAAAAAAACCCCACAAGCAUAUGGAAAAACAGAUUUUCCCCUUCCCUUCAGCAGUAAGGGAUGACAAAUGUCAAACCUAGAUACAUCCACGCUUCAUUGUGCGAUGCUUUUCAGCACCACCUGGCUCUCCAUGCACAGCUACCAAAUAUGGACAUCGCUGCCAGAAAGACCACAUCCAUGGGGCAAUGGAAAUAAAAACAGUUUAUUUCAUGGUUAAACAGCCACCUCACACAAGUGGUAAGUCUGUCUGUUGACUUUUACAUGUGAGUCACUG